GAUUAGCUCAGUUGGUAGAGCAACUGACUCUUAAUCAGUGGGCCCAGGGUUCGAGUCCCUGA
rnacentral:tRNA from 2 species